CGCCUCUUGACAAACUUAUAAGAGGUCCAGCCUGCCCAGUGACUUUGUUCAACGGCCGCGGUAUCCUAACCGUGCGAAGGUAGCGUAAUCACUUGUUCUUUAAAUGAGGACUAGUAUGAAUGGCAUCACGAAGGUUAUACUGUCUCCUUUUUCUAAUCAGUGAAACUAAUCUUCCCGUGAAGAAGCGGGAAUAGUAAUAUAAGACGAGAAGACCCUAUGGAGCUUUAAACAAAUAUACAAUUGCCCACUUAAUUAAAAAUUUCAGAAGAUAAAUACUUACCCAGGCACUUUGAUAUAAAGUUUUAGGUUGGGGUGACCGCGGAGCAAAAGACAACCUCCACAGUGAAAGGGGAGAUCCCCCUAAACUAAGGGCUACUACCCUAAGUAUCAAUAAACUGACACCAGUUGACCCAAUACACUUGAUCAACGAACCAAGUUACCCUAGGGAUAACAGCGCAAUCCACUUCAAGAGCUCCUAUCGACAAGUGGGUUUACGACCUCGAUGUUGGAUCAGGGUAUCCUAGUGGUGCAGCCGCUACUAACGGUUCGUUUGUUCAACGAUUAAAACCCU
rnacentral:rRNA from 1 species